AUAUCAAUAAGCGGAGGAAAAGAAACUAACAAGGAUUCCCCUAGUAACGGCGAGUGAAGCGGGAAGAGCUCAAGCUUAAAAUCUCUGCGCGAGUUUCGCGUGGCGAAUUGUAGUCUAUAGAUGCGUGGUCAGCGUUGGCGCUCGGGGCAAGUUCCUUGGAAGAGGACAGCAUGGAGGGUGAUACUCCCGUUCAUCUCUGAGUGGCUGGCGCGUACGACCCGUUUUCUUUGAGUCGCGUUGUUUGGGAAUGCAGCGCAAAGUAGGUGGUAAAUUCCAUCUAAAGCUAAAUAUUGGUGCGAGACCGAUAGCGAACAAGUACCGUGAGGGAAAGAUGAAAAGAACUUUGAAAAGAGAGUUAAAGAGUACCUGAAACUGCUGAAAGGGAACCGAAUCGUUUCCAGUGUCUAUAAUCCGCGGCAUAUUUCAUCGGCGAGUGUGUGCGUGCGUGUGCUUUGGCAGUGGCUUUUUUGGCUGCGCUGGGCGUGUGCUGUGCGUGUGCUUGGUGGUGCCCUGUGUUGCGGUGGGACGUCAAGGUCAGUUCGUGUGCUGCGGGAAAUGGCUGCCGAGGAGGUAGGGCUUACGCUCCGCGUUUGUCUGUUAUAUCUUGGUGGACGAGUCGUCGUGGUUGGGACUGAGGUGCCUACAACGUGCUUUUGAGCGAGUGUGUGUCUCUGGAUGCGUGCUGUGCGGAUAGCUUGCUAUGCGUGUGGCGUUGUGUUUGGAUUGGCGUGCGCUUUUGCUUGUUGCCGUUCGGGACGUUGACGAAAUGGAGCGAUCCGACCCGUCUUGAAACACGGACCAAGGAGUCUAACAUGUGU
rnacentral:rRNA from 1 species